AACGCACAUUGCGCCCUCUGGUAUUCCGGGGGGCAUGCCUGUUCGAGCGUCAUUAUAACCACUCAAGCUCUCGCUUGGUAUUGGGGUUCGCGGUUUCGCGGCCCCUAAAAUCAGUGGCGGUGCCUGUCGGCUCUACGCGUAGUAAUACUCCUCGCGAUUGAGUCCGGUAGGUUUACUUGCCAGCAACCCCCAAUUUUUACAGGUUGACCUCGGAUCAGGUAGGGAUACCCGCUGAACUUAA
rnacentral:misc_RNA from 1 species